ensembl:lncRNA
CUCACACAUUUUUAUCACCCCCUAUAAAGUAUCUGAGUAUUUGUAACUUCCUAUAGGAAUUUGUUAAACUCCUAAAAACCCAUUGGUGUCACUAAAGCAGUUUUAACUGCAGUCUUCUAGACAGAGGUCUCAGAUGUUGUUCCUGGGAUCUGCAUUCUGACAUAGUUCCCAGAGCUCAGAGAAGAAAUUUAGUGGGAGGCAGGACCUGAGGUGCUGAAGGUCAAGUCUCUCGAAGGACUUCAUUACAAUGGAAGUAACUGCAGUGGGUCUUUAUUCAUUCAAGCUACUUAUGGCUGCUUUCCUUGGGACUGGGAAAAUUAUAGUUGCUUCCAGUACCUAAUUGCAGGGAGGUGUUAGAAACCCUAAUUAGUUCCCCUUGGUCUGUACACACUUCAAACUCUUUGUGCCUGACAUUCCACUACUGUUACAUUUACACUCAGGUCUUGAUGAUUUAUUAUGGGUACAACGAUUUCACUGAAGAAACAAAAAAAUGUGUCAGAGCUUCUGCUGAUGUUGUGUUUUAUCAUUUCAGUCCAACAGGUGGAGGUAGAAUCAGGGGAGGAUUUUGUCCUGCUGCCUUGUGAAGCCAAAGACCUGCCUGAAGACAUCAGAGUAGAGUGGAAGGACAGAAAAAGCAGGAAGGUCCAUGUUUAUCAGAACGGUUUUAAUCUGGCUGGAGAACAACACAAUAUUUACAAAAGACGAACAGAGUUGAAGAGAAACCAGCUGGUACCUGGAGACGUCAGUCUGAGUCUGAAGAACCCAACAGAGGAAGACACAGGAUUCUUCACCUGCAUCGUUUACAACAGGGAGGGAAACAUUCUGAUGAAGAAACAGGUGGAGCUGAAUGUCAAAGUCCAACAGGUGGAGGUGGAGUCAGGGGAGGAGUCUGUCCUGCUGCCUUGUGAAACCCUAGACCUGCCUGAAGACAUCAGAGUAGAGUGGAGGAACAAAGCAAACAGGAGGGUCCAUGUGUAUCACACCGGUUCUGAUCAGCCUGGAGAACAACACAGUUUUUACAGCGGACGAACAGAGAUGCAGAGAAACCCUGUGAAACCUGGAGACGUCAGUCUGAGUCUGAAGAACCUAACAGAGGAAGACACAGACACCUUUACCUGCACCGUCUUCAACAAGGAGGGAAACAUCCUGAUGAAGAAACAGGUGGAGCUGGAGGUCAAAGAGAGAACUCGGGGUCCAGAUGAACCAGUGGAUGUAAGAGACAGUGGCAGCCCCACUGCUUCCACUCCUCUGAUGGCGGAUCAGUUGGUCUGAUCUUCAGUCUCUGGUCUGUUGCUCUGUCAAAAGUUGUCUGACUCAUUUCUACGCUCUGAUAAUUGAGAGUUGAGUGACUCAUUCUCAUCAGAUGUAGCAGUUAAUGACAGUCACAGAGCAGAGAUGGUGUCUCAUAUCUCUCUGCAUGUACUGUAUGGCCAAAAGAAACAGUUCUCUGUCAGUGAUACUGUCCUGUCUGUACCUUAAUGUCCCAUUUGUCAUGUAGUUCUUUUAACACAGUGAUCUUGUGCUUUUCUGGCAACACCAGUUGUUUUCUGUGGACUGUAUGUCUCCACAAAUUGUCAUUCUCAUCUGUCUCCAGCUUUUCCCAUUCAUAAACAAGACAAAGACUUUGAACACUGAAGUUUUUCUGUUCUUUUUGCAAUAGUUUCCCUCCUGACAAUUUACUCCGCAACACUGGCCCUAUGUGUACAUGUCUCUGAUCCUGUUGUAGCUGUUCUGGUGUUAUCAAAGCAAUGAUCGUGUCUGUGGCAUCAAGCACACCAUCAACAGAGAUGGCCAUUGAUUCUAGCUGUGUCUCUACAGCCUGAGCAGGAGCUCCCACUGCAUCAUAAGACAUUUCUUCUGUGCACUCAUUCAUUAGUUCCUCUACAUUCAUGGGCAUUCUAGACAGACUAUCAGCAUCAAUGUUCUCUUUUCCAGGAUGAUAUUUAAUAGUAAAGUUAGCUAACUCAGCUACCCAUCGACUUCCUGUAGCAUUCAGCUUAGCAGUGAAGAAAAUGGUUGGGUGAAAUCUGGGAAUACUAAUGCCAAGUCCUUAAUGUACUGGUGAUAGUAGCUAAAAACUCCAGGUUCAACACCCUUAUGGCAGCAGUGUCAGCAGGAUCCAUCUUAUUCCUUCAGCCGAUACUACUCUUCCACUUUUUACUUUUGACUAAUUCAAUAAAAUUUGCUUGCCUUUAAUUUGAUUCCA